rnacentral:misc_RNA from 1 species
GAUGAAGAACGUAGUGAAAUGCGAUAAGUAGUGUGAAUUGCAGAAUUCAGUGAAUCAUCGAAUCUUUGAACGCACAUUGCGCCCUUUGGUAUUCCAAAGGGCAUGCCUGUUCGAGCGUCAUUUGUACCCUCAAGCUUUGCUUGGUGUUGGGCGUCUUGUCUCUAGCUUUGCUGGAGACUCGCCCUAAAGUAAUUGGCAGCCGGCCUACUGGUUUCGGAGCGCAGCACAAGUCGCACUCUCUAUCAGCAAAGGUCUAGCAUCCAUUAAGCCUUUUUUUCAACUUUUGACCUCGGAUCAGGUAGGGAUACCCGCUGAACUUAAGCAUAUCAAUAAGCGGAGGA